AGAUUGAACGCUGGCGGCAUGCUUUACACAUGCAAGUCGAACGGUAACAGGCCGCAAGGUGCUGACGAGUGGCGAACGGGUGAGUAAUGCAUCGGAACGUGCCCAGUCGUGGGGGAUAACGCAGCGAAAGCUGUGCUAAUACCGCAUACGAUCUAUGGAUGAAAGCGGGGGACCAAAGGCCUCGCGCGAUUGGAGCGGCCGAUGUCAGAUUAGCUAGUUGGUGGGGUAAAGGCCCACCAAGGCGACGAUCUGUAGCUGGUCUGAGAGGACGACCAGCCGACACUGGAACUGAGACACGGUCCAGACUCCGUACGGGAGGACAGCGAGGUUGGGGAAUUUUGGACAAGUGGGCGCGAAGCCUGAUCCAGCAAUGCCGCGUGCAGGAAGAGGUCGU
rnacentral:rRNA from 1 species